rnacentral:sRNA from 1 species
GAACUAGUCGGACCUCCGAGCUCUUUAAACUGUCCUCAGCCUUCCCCGUGGGCUCGGCUGGUUCUCCACGAGCUCCGGGCAGACGGGGGAGGGGGUCGGCGUUUAAGUCAAAGGCCUUGGGGCUCCGAGUCCCUUCCUUUCCCCGUCCUGUGAAGGCGCGACCCAGUUCAGCUGUCUGUAAAGUGGAGCCAUUAGUCCCUGCCUCGUAGUGGGAAAACUGGGAGGCGGAACGAGGAGGCCGCCGGUCCCAACCCGGCCCAGGAGCAUCUUUCUCCGCAGACUGUUUCCUGGCGAGCUUGAGCAGGAGGUGGAGCGGCGGCGGCGGCUGGGGCAGGAGUCAGCAGCUAGGAAAGCCCUCAUCGCGAGUUCCUACCACCCGGCACGGCCUGAGGUCUACGACUCACUGCAGGAUGCAGCUCUGGCUCCCGAGUUCCUGGCCGUGACUGAGUACAGCGUGUCCCCAGGCGCAGACCUCAAGGGCCUUCUCCAGCGGCUGGAGACACCCUGAAAAGCAAAGGCCUCAUCCCCAUGGCACAGGUGAUGAAACAGGAAGACUGAAGCCCAGGCCUGGCAGGCCCACGGCCACAUUCAGGCCAACAGACCAUCCCUCCUUCCACAGAGGAGAAGCGCAUCUACCGGGUGCCUGUGUUCACAGCGCCCUUCUGCCAGGCCCUGCUGGAAGAGCUGGAGCACUUCGAGCAGUCGGACAUGCCUAAGGGGAGGCCCAACACCAUGAACAACUACGGG